GCUUACGGCCACACCGCCUGGUUCACGCCUGAUCUCGGAAGCUAAGAUAGGUUGGGCCUGGUUAGUACUUGGAUGGGAGACCGCCUGGGAAUACCAGGUGCUGUAAGCU
ensembl:rRNA 5S_rRNA 5S ribosomal RNA